CUAAAGUAUUAAUAGUUAUAUUCUUUAAACUUAAAAAAUUUGGCGGUAUUUUAGUCUAUUCAGAGGAACCUGUUUUAUAAUCGAUAAUCCACGAUGUACCUCACUUAUAUUUAUUAAUUAGUUUGUAUACCGUCGUUAUAGAAUAUUUUAUAAGAAAAAUAAUUUUCAAUAAAUUUAAUAAAAUUAUAUAUCAGAUCAAGGUGCAGCUUAUGUAUAAGNNNNNNAUGGGUUACAAUAAAAUUAUUUAAAUGGAUAUAAAUAUGAAAAAUUUAUUUAAAGUGGAUUUGAAAGUAAAAUUAUAAAGAUUAAUAAUUUGAUUAUAGCUCUAAAAUAUGUACAUAUCGCCCGUCACUCUUAUUAUUAAAGUAAGAUAAGUCGUAA
rnacentral:rRNA from 1 species